rnacentral:rRNA from 1 species
UACGUAGGCAACGAGCGUUGUUCGGAAUUACUGGGCGUAAAGAGUGUGUAGGCGGUGCUCUAAGUUCGGUGUGAAAUCUCCCGGCUUAACUGGGAGGGUGCGCCGGAAACUGGAGUGCUCGAGCGUGGGAGAGGAAAGCGGAAUUCCUGGUGUAGCGGUGAAAUGCGUAGAUAUCAGGAGGAACACCUGCGGUGUAGACGGCUUUCUGGACCAUUGCUGACGCUGAGACACGAAAGCGUGGGUAGCAAACAGG